AUCAAAGAUUAUGUAAUAAGUCAGUAACAGAUUUAAAGAAGAAGAUAUUAAGCCCUCCCAAAUCAGUAAUAAAUCAGAAACAGAUUACUGGAGACUUUACCUGGACGGUACUUUCGUCUUCUUGUUUGUAAAACUCUCCCAAAUCACACCCAUAUACUUGGUCACGAUCUCUGCGUAUAUGUAAGGUUUCAACAGUAACGAAUCAAUUACGCAAAUCAUAAAAUAUGACUGGAGAAAUUUAAGCAAAGUAAAGAUGGAUAUAGAACCGUGGCUAGCGAAGAUGCUUUGAAUAGAAGGAGGCAGAGAUGACCUGAACUGGAGACGUUGCUGACGCCGAACAGAGGAGAAGGGUACUGGAGGUGAAACGAAGAAGAACAAGAAAAAGAACAAGAAGAAGAAGCCGCUUUGGGUGAGAAGAUGAUGAGGAUGAGGAUGAUUUAUGGAUUCGUUAACGAGAUCUUAUUUCAUCGGACGGGAGCGUUAAUUUAUAGAUUUCGAACUUGAACUGAAACAAUAAAUAUUACCGUUUUUUUGUUAACCGUUAUUGAACUAUAUUCGGUGAUCAUAAGACCAUCCGCAAUGGUGAGACUCAUUGGAGUCCUUAGCACAAGGGCAUUUCAGAUUAAUCUUGGAUAUUUUGGAUUUUUUUUUUUUUUUUUUUAAAAAUGACCAUUCACGGACCGCCACGUAGUCAAUGGGACCCGUGAACAGUGUAAGGAUCAAUCCUUAUUAAAGGAUUUUAAGAAUUUUUUUUUGCACAAACUCUAAGAAAGUGGGCUCCACACCCUCUAAGGAUUCCCUUAAGAGAUCCCAUUGUGGAUGCUCUAAGAGUUAAUUAAUAAUUUAUGCAUAAAGGAAUUAACUUUCGUGGGCCUUACUCUCUGUUUAUGAUGUGGCCCAAAGUACAAAUGAUGGGUCGCUGCUCGGUGACGUGGCUCGCUCCUGGGUUCCGUUUCCACCCGAAGGACGAGGAGCUCGUUCGCUACCAAACCCUUUUAAGUUCGACGCUAUCUCCGUCACAAAUCCGAGCCCUCGGAUCUUCCAGGUUAUUUUUUUCUUUAUUAAUUCUCCCUCGAAUUGGUUACAAUGAUCUUGUUUUGAUUUGAUUGAUUUUGAGUUUGUUUUGGGGAUUAUAAUGGUUCGAGGGCCGUGUGGAUGAAGAAGACCCUUUUGUUUAUCACAGGGAUCGAGCUCCUCGUGGUGAAUGAACCAACUAGGUUAUGCAUAAGUGAGAAUCGCCUUACUGAUGACGAGUUGAAGAUUGCUGGUGUGCCACAAGUAACAUCAAUUGGGGUUUCUUCUGAUAUUCCAGAAAAGCGGUGCAGGGCCUAAUAAUGGAGAGCAGUACGGUGCUCCUUAUCUUGAAGAGGAGUGGGAAGAGGAUAAGAUUACAUUUGUACCGGAACAAGACGCUCUCUGUGAAGGAUUGGUUGUUGAUGAUGAUAAAGACAAGUCAACCAUUUCACUCGUGGGAAUGGUCAAGAUAAGGAGAAACGGAUCCUCUCUCAAUUAAUCCUCUCUCCCCCUCUUUUCUUGUUCUUAUUAUUUUUCCUCUCUCUCCGGUUUCUCAAAGAUCAGAAAAUAAGAGUAAUUCAAAUUUUGAAAGAGAAGGAAGAGAAGUUAUAAAGAAGAUCUUCGACAAUCUUUUAACUGAAACAGAAUUAGCCGUUGCUUUGGAUAACGUUGAUCAUUCUAUGUAAACGGCAUCGUUUAUUACUUAUUAAAAUCAACAAAGCAAUAAGACACAAAACAACACCGUCAUGCGGCGCCAAAGACACUAUUUAGACAACCUCUAUCUGCAACAAAAGCACGUCCAAUGAUAAGGGGUCGAAGAUUGGAUCUCUCAAAAUGCCUCACAAGGGUAAGGCUGAUGGAUUGAAAAGACAAAGCUUGAGUUGAGAAAGACCUCUUUCUUCUCUCUUUCUGUAAACUGACAAGCCACAGGGUAAAGAGCUUCUCGAAGCACCGAUGUGAAAAGAAAAUUAAUAGAAAGAAAGUGGCAACCUGACAACGAUAGCUGGGAAUAGAGGCAUUUUGUAGGUCUUCCUUAAAAAUUCUUCAGGCUUGCCCCGUAUCAAUAUAGUUCAAUAUUGUAUGUUGCAUGCGUUCAUAUCAGACAAUUAUUUUCGGUGAAUUGAUUUGUUGUAAACAACCGACAAAACAUUUGUCACUUAGAGUUUUAGUGAAAUGAGUAGAGGACAAAUGUUAAAGAAGGGAAGAGAAGGUAGUAAGAGUUCAAGAAGGGGUGACGCCCUGUUUGGCCUUAAGGACAAGCUCCUCGGUGGUGGUCCCUAUGAUCUCGUUGGCUCGCUUCAGCCCCAUGCAGUAGUACCUUCCAAUGGUGUCACGGGCAACGAUCCCCAACUUCUCUAGCUUUUGAUAAAUCAAAGAGAGAGCUGAUUUAGCCACCGAGUCAGCUUCCUCGUUAAAGUUUCUAGAGAUAAAGGAGAAAGAAAUAACAUCAAAGAGAGGCAAAUAGUGAUAUAUAUAUAUCCAAUACUACUUUCUAACGUCAUAUUCUGGAUUCUUUGUUUGGGCAGAUAUAGAAACCAAUGAGUGUUUACAAAACAAUGGAGGUUGUUGGGUUGAUAAGAGAACCAAUAUUACAGCUUGCAGGGUGCGUCAGAUCUUAAAAAGAAGAAAAAAAAAACCAUUCUUGUUUUUGCUAGAAUGUUAUGUUACACAACUUUCAUUAAAAGGAGCAUCAAUGUUGAAGUGUUGCAGGACACUUUCAGAGGAAGAGUGUGUCGAUGUCCCAUUGUUCAAGGUGUCAAGUUUUUGGGGGACGGUUACACACAUUGUGAAGGAAUGAAAAAACAGAAGCUCAAUUACUAUAUGCAUGUUAUGAUUCAUAAAUGAUGAAUUUUCUUUUUACAUGUUUAAAUUUUGGAUAAGGCAGCGUCAGGGGGCAUUGCACUGUGUAAUAAACAAUGGAGGAUGCUGGAAACAUACUCAAAUGGGAAGAACAUGCAUAUUCGGCUUGCCGCUGCAAAUGUCCACCUGGAUUCAGCGGUGAUGGGCUCAAAAACUGCACAGAUGUUAACUAGUGUGAAGAGAAAACAGUGUGCCAGUGUCGCGGCUGCAAAUGCAAGAACACAUGGGGAAGCUAUGAUGCGCUUCCGCUUUACAUCAGAGAGCAGGACAUUUGCAUAAGUAAGGAUGCAAGAGGAGAUGUAAGAUGGGGAGUGAUAUGGAUAAUAAUAAUGGGACUGGGAGCAGCUGCUUUGGGAGUUUGCACUGAUUACAAAUACAGAAUCCGGGUCUGCUUCUCAAAGACAAUACUUGUUCAAUAUUUUGGCUGGACUUUGAUUGUGGGGUUUUCUUAACUAUUAAUUAAUCAUGUGCUCAGACGUACAUGGACUCAGAGAUAAGAGCGAUAAUGGCGCAAUACAUGCCUCUUGAUAACCAUCCCAACACUCAGCCUUCUCAGCUUGAGUUGUAAGAACAGUCUUCACUCAAUUCACACACUAUAUCGUUACCAUAUAUGUACUCCCAAAAAGCUUACACAUUCAGUUUUAAUUAUACGUUUUGUCACCUAAUUUAAAUUCACUUAAUUCAUUCGUCACUCAGUGCGCACACUCAAACACGGUGGCCCGGAGAAACGUAUGUAUCUUAAAAUAAUACAGAAUCAUUAUUAGGGAAACCAAUAGUAGCAAUUCUGGGCGUUCACUCAACUAAUCAGAGUAGUCUAAGCAAAACCGCUCAUUAAAUAUCACAUUCCUUAGUCGUUAGCAAUAG